rnacentral:lncRNA from 1 species
CAUCAGAAGACUAUGUCACAAAUCAAAUGAUCUCUGAGCCAGAGAUGGAUGUCCCACAGUGCUCAAUCAGAGCUUCAGAAAAGGACAGAUUCAUCAGUCUUUCUUCACUGAAAACCAGAGGAGGCACCUGCCACCCACCUGACUCCAGGAGCCUGAGUCAAAGUUCAGUCUGCACAGCUCAGGCAGGACUUGAACCCAGAACCACAGAGUGAGCCCUUGUCAGCUGUGCUGAGUAAGAAAUGAGAAAUGUUGCAGGUCCUGAGGUAGGGUAGGUGGACAGUGGGAUUCCUGAAGCAUUCCACACCACCUGGCAGGAAGA